AUUGAACGCUGGCGGCAGGCCUAACACAUGCAAGUCGAGCGGAUGAAGGGAGCUUGCUCCUGGAUUCAGCGGCGGACGGGUGAGUAAUGCCUAGGAAUCUGCCUGGUAGUGGGGGAUAACGUCCGGAAACGGGCGCUAAUACCGCAUACGUCCUGAGGGAGAAAGUGGGGGAUCUUCGGACCUCACGCUAUCAGAUGAGCCUAGGUCGGAUUAGCUAGUUGGUGGGGUAAAGGCCUACCAAGGCGACGAUCCGUAACUGGUCUGAGAGGAUGAUCAGUCACACUGGAACUGAGACACGGUCCAGACUCCUACGGGAGGCAGCAGUGGGGAAUAUUGGACAAUGGGCGAAAGCCUGAUCCAGCCAUGCCGCGUGGGUGAAGAAGGUCUUCGGAUUGUAAAGCACUUUAAGUGGGGAGGAAGGGCAGUAAGUUAAUACCUUGCUGUUUUGACGGUACCAACAGAAUAAGCACCGGCUAACUUCGUG
rnacentral:rRNA from 1 species